CGACGGAGUUUUAGACGGAAGUUUUCGGAUGGAAGGCUUAAAACUUAGUGGCGGACGGGUGAGUAACGCGUGGGUAACCUGCCUCAUACAGGGGAAUAACAGUUAGAAAUGACUGCUAAAACCGCAUAACAUGGCGAUACCGCAUGAUAUUGCCAUCAAAUAUUUAUAGGUAUGAGAUGGGCCCGCGUCUGAUUAGCCAGUUGGCAGGGUAAUGGCCUACCAAAGCGACGAUCAGUAGCCGGCUUGAGAGAGUGACCGGCCACAUUGGGACUGAGACACGGCCCAAACUCCUACGGGAGGCAGCAGUGGGGGAUAUUGCACAAUGGGGGAAACCCUGAUGCAGCGACGCCGCGUGAGUGAAGAAGUAUUUCGGUAUGUAAAGCUCUAUCAGCAGGGAAGAAAACAAUGACAGUACCUGACUAAGAAGCCCCGGCUAACUACGUGCCAGCAGCCGCGGUAAUACGUAGGGGGCAAGCGUUAUCCGGAUUUACUGGGUGUAAAGGGAGCGUAGGCGGUGCGGCAAGUCAGAAGUGAAAGCCCGGGGCUCAACUCCGGGACUGCUUUUGAAACUGUCGGACUGGAGUGUCGGAGAGGUAAGUGGAAUUCCUAGUGUAGCGGUGAAAUGCGUAGAUAUUAGGAGGAACACCAGUGGCGAAGGCGGCUUACUGGACGAUCACUGACGCUGAGGCUCGAAAGCGUGGGGAGCAAACAGGAUUAGAUACCCUGGUAGUCCACGCCG
rnacentral:rRNA from 1 species